GACGAACGCUGGCGGCAUGCCUAACACAUGCAAGUCGAACGGUAACGACGGAAGCUUGCUUCCGGGCGACGAGUGGCGGACGGGUGAGUAACACUUAGGAAUCUGCCCAGUAGUGGGGGACAACCAGGAGAAAUCCUGGCUAAUACCGCAUACGCACUACGGUGGAAAGUGGGGGACCUUCGGGCCUCACGCUAUUGGAUGAGCCUAAGUCGGAUUAGCUUGUUGGUGAGGUAAAGGCUCACCAAGGCGACGAUCCGUAGCUGGUCUGAGAGGACGAUCAGCCACACUGGGACUGAGACACGGCCCAGACUCCUACGGGAGGCAGCAGUGGGGAAUAUUGGACAAUGGGGGCAACCCUGAUCCAGCAAUGCCACGUGUGUGAAGAAGGCCUGCGGGUUGUAAAGCACUUUCAGUAGAGAAGAAAAGCCUAGGGUUAAUACCCCUGAGUCUUGACGUAACCUACAGAAGAAGCACCGGCUAACUCCGUG
rnacentral:rRNA from 1 species